UACGGAGGAUGCAAGCGUUAUCCGGAUUCAUUGGGUUUAAAGGGUGCGUAGGCGGACUAUUAAGUCAGUGGUGAAAGCCUGCAGCUUAACUGCAGAACUGCCAUUGAUACUGAUAGUCUUGAGUUUGGUUAAGGUAGGCGGAAUGUGUAAUGUAGCGGUGAAAUGCUUAGAUAUUACACAGAACACCGAUUGCGAAGGCAUCUCACAAAGCCGUUAUUGACGCUGAGGCACGAAAGUGUGGGGAUCAAACAGGA
rnacentral:rRNA from 1 species